AGAGUUUGAUUAUGGCUCAGGACGAACGCUGGCGGCAUGCCUAACACAUGCAAGUCGAACGGAGAAUUUAUUUCGGUAAAUUCUUAGUGGCGAACGGGUGAGUAACGCGUAGGCAACCUGCCCUUUAGAUGGGGACAACAUCCCGAAAGGGGUGCUAAUACCGAAUGUGACGAAUCUCCCGCAUGAGAGAUUCGUGAAAGAUGGCCUCUACAUGUAAGCUAUCGCUAAAGGAUGGGCCUGCGUCUGAUUAGCUAGUUGGUGAGGUAACGGCUCACCAAGGCGACGAUCAGUAGCCGGUCUGAGAGGAUGAACGGCCACAUUGGGACUGAGACACGGCCCAG
rnacentral:rRNA from 1 species